UAAAAACAGAAGAUGAUACGGGAAAGGAGAGAGUUGGGGUAGGAAAGGAAGGAAAUGGGAAAAAGGCCCAUUAUUUUGUCGCUGAAGAAGCAAAUUUGUUUCAUGAUUUUAUUAUGGGUCCAGAUUAACUUGGAUGUUUGUAAUCAUGUCGUUAUGAUUUUAAAGGAAUAGGUCUUGUCUUUUGGCCCUAACUUUUGGGUUUGCUUAAUUUUCUUUAGGUAUUUUUUAUGCUUUGUCUUUCUCUUGUGUCUUUUUUCCCCCUUUUCUAUUGUUUUUGGAACUGAAAAAUUCCACUAAAACUCGCAAAGGAGCUGAUUUCCUCCUUUCUAUUUUAUUAAAAUUGGCAUGAGUUUUUGUAUACAGGGUAAUUUUUUGUUGUUUAGUUAUUGAAAACAGCAUGUUGUGAAAUUGGGAUAUGGGUUUUGUUUGGAUGCCUAGAAAAUCUGAGAAAGUAAAAAAGGAAAAAAAAGAAAUUCAAUACUAAUUGGAUGAGUAUAUAGCAUAGUUAUUAAAGGCCCAAGG
rnacentral:misc_RNA from 1 species